GGGGAUGAAAUGGCUUCGACGGGGUGAAGGAGGCUUGUAGUGGCAUACCGUGCUUUGCCGUGGCUGCACGUAAAUCCAAACGGCAAACAAAAAAUGCCGAAAGCAAUUACGCUUUGGCUGCCUAAUUAAGUAAAGCAGCCCAUCUGUCGGAAAACUUGCCUAUCGGUUUUCCGAUGGGUGUCGCAUUUAGAUAGGCUGGCAAAUGGAUUUUUCGGUUGCUCCAUUUGCGACAAAUUCAACCGAUAGCCUUUACGAAACCUGUCGUUCGGUUCGCGUAAAGGCGAAAUUCAAAGAACGACUAAGUAUGUAGGCACUACAGUCGAAACACUCCGGACGCGGGUUCAACUCCCGCCAUCUCCACAA
rnacentral:tmRNA from 1 species